rnacentral:sRNA from 1 species
AGUGGGCCAAGAGCUUUAUUUAGUUGCCCUGAAAUCCUAGAGCUGGGUCAGGACUCCUAAGACCGUGUCUUCACUGUCCAGGAGGACAAAAGCUCGUGAGCAGGCUCUGUCCCCUCUGGGAAGAGAGCCA